CAGUCGCCACGGGAACACGGAGGGUGCAAGCGUUAAUCGGAAUUACUGGGCGUAAAGCGCACGCAGGCGGUCUGUCAAGUCAGAUGUGAAAUCCCCGGGCUUAACCUGGGAACUGCAUUUGAAACUGGCAGGCUAGAGUCUUGUAGAGGGGGGUAGAAUUCCAGGUGUAGCGGUGAAAUGCGUAGAGAUCUGGAGGAAUACCGGUGGCGAAGGCGGCCCCCUGGACAAAGACUGACGCUCAGGUGCGAAAGCGUGGGGAGCAAACAGGAUUAGAUACCCCUGUAGUCCCUGUCUCUUAUAC
rnacentral:rRNA from 1 species